CGAGUUAACCGGGCAAUCGCGGGGCCCUAGCGAAAGCUGGGCCGUGAGGAAAGUCCGGGCUCCAUAGGACAAGGGUGCCGGGUAACUCCCGGUGAAGGCAACUUUAAGGAAAGUGCAACAGAAAGAUACCGCCAGGCUGCGGCCUGGUAAGGGUGAAAUGGCGAGGUAAGAGCUCACCGGCAAGCUGGAGACAGUUUGGCCCUGUAAACCCCACCUGGAGCAACACCGUGGAGAGACAUAUACUGUGGUCCGCAGGUCUCGGGGAGGUGGCUGGAGCCAAGGUGAGAGCCUUGGCCUAGAUAGAUGAUUGCCCCUGACAGAACCCGGCUUACAGGUUUUCUCGGAAU
rnacentral:RNase_P_RNA from 1 species